rnacentral:rRNA from 1 species
AGUGAACGCUGGCGGUAGGCCUAACACAUGCAAGUCGAACGGCAGCACAGUAAGAGCUUGCUCUUACGGGUGGCGAGUGGCGGACGGGUGAGGAAUACAUCGGAAUCUACUUUUUCGUGGGGGAUAACGUAGGGAAACUUACGCUAAUACCGCAUACGACCUACGGGUGAAAGCAGGGGAUCUUCGGACCUUGCGCGAUUGAAUGAGCCGAUGUCGGAUUAGCUAGUUGGCGGGGUAAAGGCCCACCAAGGCGACGAUCCGUAGCUGGUCUGAGAGGAUGAUCAGCCACACUAGAGCUGAGACACGGUCCAGACUCCUACGGGAGGCAGCAGUGGGGAAUAUUAGACAAUGGGCGCAAGCCUGAUCCAGCCAUACCGCGUGGGUGAAGAAGGCCUUCGGGUUGUAAAGCCCUUUUGUUGGGAAAGAAAAGCAGCAGGUUAAUACCCCGCUGUUCUGACGGUACCCAAAGAAUAAGCACCGGCUAACUUCGUG